GAAAUACUCCCAGUCUUUGGCAAGAGAAGGAAGGAGACCAAAACCAGUCCCUGAGCCAGAGGAAGAUCCCCGUCAUCUUCUCAACAAAGAACUUGGAAUUGAUGGUAUUGACAUGAGGUCCUACAGGACACAGGGCCCUCUGCUCACUUGGGCUCCCAGCCAUGCCCAGAAGGCUCCAUGAUGUCAGCUGCAAAACAGUCAACAAUCACAUGUACCCACCCCUAAACACUGAGACCCUAAAGUGACUCUUGUAAUCCAAGAGAUGAGUUUUGGCCCCAAUCUAGGCCAAUAUCCUUCGACUUCCCCCUGUGUCCCCUGAACAGACUUCAACGAGGGCUUUCUCUUGAUCAGCUCUCCCCAGAUCCUUACAACCUCCAGGACCCUCCGUUUGAAAGUGGAGCUCAUUGUCCUGGUUCUCUCCCCUCUUGAUUGUUACUGACGGUGGGGACUUGUUCAGACACCUCUGGAAACACAAUCAUAAUCAGCUUCUUCCAUGUACGGACUGAUGGGAUUAACUCACGCUUAACACUGAGUGAAUGAACUGAGGCAGCAUACUGGGGACUGUGCCCGGCCAGGACUGACCUCUUCAGGCCUCUGAUUCCGGCUCAGAGCAGCAGAGACUAAUUUUGUCAAGGCCUUCGUCUGGAAAAGGGCUCACGUGACCCAACCCAGCCUGGCUGGCCCGCCCGGACCGCGAAGGGACAGUCCUCCCGGCUGCUUCUGGCCCCUACUCAGCGGGGCACGUCCUCCACGCCCACGUACCCCCACAUGCCACAAGAGUUCUCGCCAGAGUCCUGCCCACACCAUAAUGAAUGGAGGAAUAAACAUGGCUGAGGUUCUGGAUUCUUACUCAGAGUCAUCUCUGCCAGUGUGUCAUUUCUGCAAUGGAUGCAGCUUCUGCAUAGAGAAGGUCCUGGGCCCAUUCCCAUCCCUACCGGAAACUCAAAAUUGAAGGUGUUACCACAGGCCCCUAUGGGACAAUGACUUUUGCUCAGCUGGUACCCUGAAGCAUCCCUUCCAAUCUCCAUGAUGUCUGUUUCAAACUACAGAAUGCUGGACUUGGCUGGCCCCACUCUAUUUACCAAGAAAGUUCUAGAGGAUGGCAUUACGUGCAUCUCUACCAGACCUAGACUGUUGCCCUUCAUUGAUGGGCACAGAAUUCAAAAAACCUGUCGAGGUCUGCUUUCUUUAGGGAGCCUCAAUCAGGGCCCGUCUUCCCUCUCCCAAUCAAGACCAGGAUUCCAGCUUUGAG